rfam:Plasmopara halstedii genome assembly, contig: Scaffold_873
CUUUAAAAAUCUGGAUCAAGCUGAAAAUUGAAACGACACACAUGUUAUGUGUGUUCGAGUCUCUCAAAUUUUCGCAAUUUGGUGAUGAAUCGAAAGAAACAUCUUCGG